AUGCAGGUUGCGGCCGGCUGCGAGGGCUCACCGGCGGCGACGGAGGGGGGCGACCAGCAGAGCUCCAAGAAGCCGAGGCUGGCCGCCGAGCCGCUCCUCCUCCAUGUGCCGGUGAAGCAAGAGAUGGUCGUGCACCAAGCGGCCGGAGCCGGAGGAGACGGGGCCGCGGUGGUGGCGGCGGACCACGGCUCUAGGAUGGAGAUCGCCGUGAAGAUGGACGUGACCCUGCUCCAUUGCCCCCUCUGCAUCAGCCCCCUGAAGCCCCCCGUCCUUCAGUGCAAGGGCGGGCAUGUGGCCUGCGGCGGCUGCCUCGCGGAGCCCUGCGCGGAGUGUGGCGGCGCCUUCGACGUUCGCAGCAAGGUGAUGGACGCCGUCGUCUCCUCGACCACGGCCGAGUGCGACCACGACGGAUGCGGGCGCUACGUGACCUACCACGAGCUCGACGGCCACCGCGGCGAGUGCCCGCACGCGCCCUGCGACUGCGCGGUCCCCGGCUGCGGCUUCGCCGGCCCGGCGCCGGCGCUCCUCGGCCACCUGACCGCCCUCCACUCGAUGCCGGUCUACAACUUCCAGUACGGCAAGGUCCUGGCGCUCCAGCUGCCGGCGUCGCUGGAGCCGCGGGGCCUGCUGGUCGGGGACGAGGACGGCCGCGCGUUCCUCAUGGUCGGCGGCGCGCUCGGCUCCGGCGCGGCCGUGUCGGCGGUGUGCGUCAGGGCGGAGGCGAUGCUGUGGCCGCGGUACACGCUCAAGGUGUGGGCGAGCGGGCCGGCGCCGGCGCCGAACCGCAAGGCCGACACCGUCAUGGCGGAGAUCGAGGUGACGAGCAGCAGGGUGCCCGGCGCCGUCGCCGUCGAGGAGCUGGCGUACCUGGCGGUGCCGCCCAAGCUGCUGGUUGGGGCAGGACCGUCCCGGCGGAUGUCUCUCAAGAUCCGCAUUGACAAGUUCACCUCCUGA
rnacentral:rRNA from 1 species